AAUCAACGCUGGCGGCGUGCCUAACACAUGCAAGUCGAACGCGAGAGGGGCUUCGGCCCCGAUUGAGUGGCGAACGGGUGAGUAACGCGUGGGUGACCUACCUUCGAGUGGGGGAUAACGUCCCGAAAGGGACGCUAAUACCGCAUAACAUCCUGCUUUUGAAUGGGUGGAGAUCAAAGCCGGGGAUCGCAAGACCUGGCGCUUGAUGAGGGGCCCGCGUCUGAUUAGCUAGNGGUGAGGUAACGGCCCACCAAGGCAACGAUCAGUAUCCGGCCUGAGAGGGCGGACGGACACACUGGGACUGAGACACGGCCCAGACUCCUACGGGAGGCAGCAGUGGGGAAUUGUUCGCAAUGGGCGCAAGCCUGACGACGCAACGCCGCGUGGAGGAUGAAGGUCUUGGAUUGUAAACUCCUGUUGCCCGGGACGAAUGGCUCCGACCUAACACGUCGGAGUGUGAC
rnacentral:rRNA from 1 species